rnacentral:lncRNA from 1 species
GACAGCAAGCUGGCUGUGACAUGUCAACCCCACUGAUUGCCAGAACUGAUUUGCUGGAUCUGCCCUGUUAAGAUGGUGUCCCAUUUCUUCCUGGCUCUGCCACAUGUGUUUUUCCAAAAUCUGGACACUUUACUGGAGAGGAUGAUUUCUCUAGAUGGAGAAAGACCAUGGUCUACAGAGAAUCAAGUUCUUCUGCUGGAAUACUCAAGGCAUGUUGAGUAGGUUCCCCUGC